AUCCAGCUCACGAGUCCCAAAUAGGACGAAACGCGCGUCCUGGAC
rnacentral:hammerhead_ribozyme from 1 species